GCCUGGAUAGCUCAGUGGGUUAGAGCAUAGUGCUCAUAAUGCCAAGGCUGCAAGUUCGAUCCCCGUGUUGGACA